rnacentral:tRNA from 1 species
UCUAAUAUGGCAGAAUAAAUGCAUAGGAUUUAAACCCCUUUAAUAAAGAAAAUAUCUUUUUUUAGAA